UGGCUAGAGCGGCGCACGGGUGAGUAACGCGUACAUGACCUGCCCUUUACUGGGGAUAGCUCGGGAAACUGAGAUUAAUACCCCAUGGUAUUAUUAUGCUGCAUGGUAUGAUAAUUAAAGCUGAGCGGUAAAGGAUGGGUGUGCGUCUGAUUAGCUAGUUGGAAAGGUAACGGUUACCAAGGCGAUGAUCAUAGGGGCGUGAACGUGACCCCCACACGGGUUACUGAGACACGGACCCGACUCCUACGGGAGGCAGCAGUAAGGAAUAUUGGUCAAUGGAGGAAACUCUGAACCAGCCAUCCCGCGUGAAGGAUGAAGGGGCUCUGCCUUGUAAACUUCUUUUGAAUGGGACGAAAAAAGGGGAUUUAUCCUCGACUGACGGUACCAUUAGAAUAAGCACCGGCUAACUCCGUGCCAGCAGCCGCGGUAAUACGGAGGGUGCAAAGCGUUAUCCGGAAUCACUGGGUUUAAAGGGUGCGUAGGCGGCUAAAUAAGUCAGUGGUGAAAGGCCGUGGCUUAACCAUGGGAUUGCCAUUGAUACUGUAUAGCUUGAAUGAGGAUGAGGUUGGGCGGAAUGUGGCAUGUAGCGGGUGAAAUGCU
rnacentral:rRNA from 1 species